rnacentral:lncRNA from 1 species
UUCCAUAUCUGUUUAUUUUAUAUCUAUAUAUUUUGAGAACCAUGAAUUCAUACUGGUAUCUCUAGUUCCAAGCUGAUAUAAUAGAGUUACUUCUGGUUUUCUGCUUUUUUAUAUUUGUAAUUCCUUUCUCAUCCAUGGUGAAGCUUCUGAUUCUACUAAAUUGUAUAUGCAAACAAAAUAUUAUCUUGCUUAUGGUUUAUCAAGUCAACAUUUAUCAAGACUCUUUGGAGUG